GGCCUACACCACAGCCACAGCAACGCAGGAUCUGAGCUGCAUGUGCAACCUACAACACAGCUCACAGCUACACAGGAUCCUUAACCCACUGAACGAGUCCAGGGAUCGAACCCGCAACCUCAUGGUUCAUAGUUGGAUUCAUUUCCGCUGCACCAUGAUGGGAACUCCUAUAAAUUACAUUUCUAUGAUGACGCUUUAUUUACUGUAAGUAUUUAUGACCUUGGGUAAUAAGUACAUUAACUAGUGACAUGUUAUGUAGCAUCUAGUAUAAUUAAAAACUAAUCAUGAUCUAUCAUGGCAAAUAUUUCUUCAUGACUGGGACAACAACACUUAGUCAAAACCAUAGUGAACUGACAGUAUUUUCAGUUAUAGUUAUAAUACAAUUUCAAGGUGUUCAAUAUAAUUUUUUUUCCCUAGGGGAAAGAAAAGCAAUUGAUUUUCAAGCCUCAAUUCUACUUGAGGCUUGGUGAAAAAAUCCUUUGGUCAGCACAUCGAAAGGAAUAAAAAAUAAAAAGGAAAAGGCAAAACUCAUGAAUGAGGAUGAACUUAUUCAGGAGAACACAGUUAGCUAUUUUAUUUUCUUUAAGUCAAGUUCUUUAUCAUAGCUAGAGAUUAAUGUAUAACAUCUGAUUACACACUGUAACUAUAGCAGGAUAAGUUUGAGGAGAAGGGCCAGCUGGCAUCUUGCGUUCUUCUUAAAUAAUUUACUGUCCAAUGAUAGACACUUGGUAUAUAUUUAAUAAAUGAGAAAUGGAAUUCAUGUAAGUGGAGGAAUAUAUGUUACUCAUAUAAUUUCUAUGGCAGAGAAAGCCUAAAACCAAUUUCUGAAACCAAUGUAUUAUAAGAAAUAUCCUAAAAUGACUCAUGAUGGACAGUUUUGCGAACUUUUAGAUAAAUAUGAAGACAUUAUCCAUUCAGGAAGUAGUUAUAGAGUACCAGUACUAUGCUAAGGCACAGUUCUAGGUGGUUAGAAUAUGAUAGCAAGUGAGAGAUGUAAAGAUGUUUGAACCAUGCUUUAAACGGUUCUGCCUACAAAACAGGAUAUUACUAUGCAAAUUUAGUUUAAAGGCCAAUAAUUAGGGGCCUUCACCUGCUGUAAUCAAGAAUCAUUGUCUUGGGUGGUCAGUCUCCAUCGUUUUAGAGAAUCAACUUGUUAGUGGUGGCUGCAAUAAUGGUUUCAGAUAUCAAUAUGUUGAAAAACUCGUGGCUUUACAGUUGGUGUUCUGGACUUCAGAAGUGGAUUUAUUUUAGUGAAAAGAGAGGCUCUUGGCUAUUAUGAUGACUACUAAAUUUGGGCAUUGGUGGAGAACCUAAAAAUAUUCAAUAAAUAUCCAUUGGUUAAAAUGUUUUAGAAUCACUCCCUUCUUCGGCACAAUAGAGCAAAAAAUCUAGCAAAUCGUGUAUCUUGUACCCUACAGUCAGCCUCAAGUAGGGUGAUGGUUUGCUUCCUGGAGAUGACCAUAAAAGUAUGACAGAGCAUUGUUUUAUCUGCUCUUUGUGCAAAGUGUGGUUGGAAUUCCUAAAAGACAGAGAGCUGGGAGAAGAAAAUGAAGGUUGAGGAGGAGGACCAGGUUACCUCGGACCUCUUUGCCAACUUCUAUAAUAUAUAAAUAUCAAAAUAAAAGAAUAAAAACUUAACCAUUGUCCAUGAUCACACCAACUGAGGUUGGAAGACAACAAAAAUAUUCUACCCUAUGGAGCUUAUAUUCUGGUAAGAGAAAUUAACAAUACACAAAUAAAUAUACCAAAACAGAGCAAGACCCAGUGAGACUUUCCCAGGGCAGACCUCCUUCCCCCAGUGUUCUCAGCCUACCUUUUGUCUGUAGAGAAACUUUACUCAAAAGGCAAAUUUAAUCGGAGAAGUGAGGAAAUACAGAAACAAAAGGAAUUCAGUCAAACAGGAUAAAAGAAUAAUAGUCAUUAAGCAAAAUCAAGGACCUUUAGCUCAUCAUCAAGGGCUAUGGAUAAUAUUCUGAUCUAUAUCCUUUGGGCUGUUUUGUUGAUACUGAAACCUCCACCAAGUGGAAGAAGUUAACUAUGUGGUGACCAAACUGUAGCCAUGACAUAUGCUGCCACAAUUCUGAGAACUGGCCUCAAAGAAAUGGGAACAAACAGACUCCUGGAACUGAAGAUUAACUGUACUUAUAAUCAAGAUGCCACUAAUCUGACCACCACAUGAAUAAUUCAAGAUGAUUGUCAUCCACUGUGCUAUUCUGCAGGUAGCCUCUCCCUCUCUAUACAGCUCUGAAACUCCUUUUAAAAGCUGUUGCCCCCUGACUGAUAGAGGGCACUGGCCUUUGGACAUGAGUCUGCCUUCUUCACAGGUUGCCAGCAUCCUGAAUAAAGCAACUUUUCCUUUCUUCCAACACUUGUCUCUUGAGUUUGGCUUUCGAUCAGCAAACAGCCAGUCCCGAGUUUGCUAACAAUAGUAAAUAUUAAGCUACUUUAUUGAUUAUUCACAUGCCUUUGAGUAUAUGAUAGUUAAGCCAAGAUCUGACUGCAAUGGAUUAAAACGAAGAUUGAAAAAAAAAUCACCUCAGACAGAUUUUUUUCAGCUCUCAUCAGGAUUUGGAGCUCUUCUUCUUAACAUGUACAUAAAGAAGAUGGUUGGAACUAAGUGUCUGCUAACCAUAUAGAAUCAGUGGGCAGGAGAAAAUAAUUCUUGAUUCUAAAGAAUGGUUUGAAUAUCUAGAUACAUCACGUGGGGAGAGACAGUGCCUAUUUUGUCCUUUAUGAUAAAUAAACUGAGAAUCAAAUACAAAAUAGCUCACAUCUUUUUCAACUCUAAAAUUUAAGUAAUUUUAAUUUUUUUUGACUUUAUUUUUGGGGGUAUUUAUUUAUUUAUUACUCAAUGAACAUAUCAUAUCUGUAGUUGUAUAAUGAUGCAUCACAAUCCAAUUUCACAGGAUUUUCAUCCCACAACCCAAGCACAUUCCCCACCCCUCCAAACUGUCUCCUCCAGAGACCAUACGUUUUUCAAAGUCUGUGAGUCAGCAUCUGUUGUGCAAAGAAGUUCAGUCUGUCCUUUUUUCAGAUUCCACAUGUCAGUGAAAGCAUUUGAUGUUGGUGUCUCAUUGUAUGGCUGACUUCACUUAGCAUGAUAAUUUCUAGGUCCAUCCAUGUAGGCUUUGAUAUAAAUGAAAUUUAAGGCAUGUGUUUUUUAAUAAGAGCUUCGUUGUGAUAUAAUUCACAUAACUUACAAUUCAUGCAUUUAUAGUUGUACAACUAAAUCAUUUUUAGUUCAAUCAUCACCACAAUUUUUAUCUAUGGCCCAAAGAAACCUUGUACCUAUUAAUAGGCUCUUGCUACUUUCCCCCAGACUGUGCCCCUUCCAGUCUGAGGCAAUGUUAAUUAAGUUUUUAUCUCUUUGGAUUUGCAUACUCUGAAUAUACGAGAGAUGGAAUCACACCUAUGUGAUGUUUGUGACUGGUUUCUUAGACUUAGCAUAAUGCUUUCAAGGUUCACUCAGGUUAUAGCAUUUUAUAACCUGAUUUUUUUCACUCAUUGCCGUAUAACGCUCACUGUGGAGAUAUACCACAUUUAUUUAUCCAUUCAUCAGCUGAUAUACAGUUUACAUGUUUUCAUACUUGCCUGCUAUAAAUCAAAUGCUGUCAUGAGCAUUUAUGUUCAUGUUUUUGUGUAGACUUAUGUUUUAUUUUUUUCCUGGGCAUGUAUCUAGGAGUGGAAUUACUGGGUUGUAUGCUAACUCUAUGUUUAUCCUUCUGAAGGACUACAGGCUAUAAGUUGAUGUAGCAUUUUACAUUCUAUAUGUUGUGUAUGAGUAGUGUUUUCCACAGGGUAAACAUUUAAGGGAAAGCUUUUCAAAUUCCAAAGGUAAUCUUAGGGAUAGAAUAGCAGUUCAUAACUUGGCAAGUUUGUACUUGGUAACCUCAAACCCUCAUGAUAUUGUGACACUCUGAAUGGUUUUUAUUGUGAAACUCUUAUUUUAUUGUGACACUCUGAGCAGUUUUAUCACCUAUUGUAACCACUAAGUAGCAUGCUUUUAUUUUGCCUCUCAUUCUUUUAGGCUCUUAUUUCAUUAUCUGCUACUUACUGGAAGUUGUGAGCAUUUCUCAGGUGUAGCAGGCUGAACAAUGAAUCCAAAAGAUAACUAAGUAUUAAUCCCUAGGAACUUUGUAAUAUUGUGGAGCAGAAUGGACUUCGCAGAUGUGAUUAAAUUACGAUUUUGAGAUGGAGAAAUUAUCCUAGGUUGUCCCAAGUGAGUUCUAAAUGAAACCCCAAAUUGGGAGGCAAAGGGAGAUUUGAGACAGAAGAAAGCAACAUCACAUUUCUUUUGGUGUUGCCUGGACCCCAUAAACCAGGGGCAAAAAUCCCCUAUUAGGUGGCCCCUUUACCCAACCCAUUUAAGAAGCCUGGUGAUAAAGAGGCUUUUGCAAUUCUGAAAGCUUUCCUGGGAGCAUCAUCCUCAGGCCUGCCACUUGUGUGCAAAUUUGUUUCUACUUUUGGGAAAGAAGCCUUGCCAUGACAACUCCCAGGCAAAUAAGUAAUGGAGCUCAGUUUAUGAAAUCUAGGCUCCAAAUUCAGGUUAGGUACUGGGGAGAGGCGAAGCACCCUGCACGAGCAUACCAGAAUCAAAGCAGGGAAAGAACAGACGAAAUCAUAUCCUGAAUUUUAUGGACGAAUUUUCCUCAGAAAUAUGCAGACCAGUUCAUAUAAUUUGAUUCCCUCAAACACCAUUUGGAUAAUUUUUCUUAAAUACAACAUUCUAGUGCCCCAUCCUACAGGGGCUUUGAUGCGCUGUCACAUUUAAUCUUGUCCAAAAUACCCUGGGAUAGAUAGUUCUUACCUCCACUUUGCGUCUGAAGAAACCAAGGUUAAGAUAAAUUGGCCAACCCAGAAGAAGACACAGAUAGAGG
rnacentral:lncRNA from 9 species